rnacentral:rRNA from 1 species
UUGAAGAGAGAGUUCAAGAGUACGUGAAACUGCUCAGAGGCAAACGGGUGGGCCCUCGAAAUCCUCUCGUGGGGGGAUUCAGUCGGGCAGUGCGAGGGACGUAGGUGGUAUGCGGACCCCGAGAAGGGUCGCGUCUGCCGACGACGUACCUUCGUCUUCCCGACGCACUUCCUCCCACGCUGUGGACGCCGCAGCCGGUUGGGUAGCUGCGAGAGUCGGCCGUGAGGGCGGGCACCGGCAGGUGACGGGAGAAUCUUCUUCCGAACGAUUUUCCCGUUGUUAGCCAGCUCGCACCGUGGCGCGACACCCGACCGUGGUCUGUGUUCCCGUUCGCGGGAACGACGCCCGUCCCCUUCCUAGCGCGCGACCUGGCAGUCGGUCUCCUCGCAACAGUCGAGUCACUCCUCGUAGUGGCCGGCGCGCGGAGGCGUUCGUUGGCUGGAGUCGUCGCGCGGCUGGGGACAGAAGGCUGGCGGCGAGUAGGUCGGUCACCCACCCGACCCGUCUUGAAACACGGACCAAGGAGUCUAACAUGUGCGCGAGUCGCGGGGUCUUGAAUAGGCCCUCGGGCGCAAUGAAAGUGAAGGUGGUCUCCGCACCACCGUGUCGGGACCCCAGCCUCCGUGGUUGGGAGCACCGACGACCCGUCCCACCGGGCAUUGCCCGCGGGGCGGAGUCCGAGCGCACACGUUGGGACCCGAAAGAUGGUGAACUAUGCCUGGGCAGGACGAAGCUAGAGGAAACUCUGGUGGAGGUCCGCAGCGGUUCUGACGUG